rnacentral:rRNA from 1 species
AUUGAACGCUGGCGGCAGGCCUAACACAUGCAAGUCGAACGAGUGGCGGACGGGUGAGUAAUGUCUGGGAAACUGCCCGAUGGAGGGGGAUAACUACUGGAAACGGUAGCUAAUACCGCAUACCAUCGGAUGUGCCCAGAUGGGAUUAGCUUGUAGGUGAGGUAACGGCUCACCUAGGCGACGAUCCCUAGCUGGUCUGAGAGGAUGACCAGCAACACUGGAACUGAGACAUGGUCCAGCCUCCUACGGGAGGCAGCAGUGGGGAAUAUUGCACAAUGGGCGCGAGCCGGAUGCAGCCAUGCCGCGUGUAUGAAGAAGGCCUUCGGGUGUUAAAUUCCUUUCAGCGGGGAGGCGUUACCCGCAGAAGACGCACCGGCUAACUCCGUGCCAGCAGCCGCGGUAAUAC